rnacentral:lncRNA from 1 species
GUUCCAGGCCUUUGUCUGCUAAACGUAGAGUACUGUGUGUGAGAGAGCAGAGUUGGAAUCAGCAAAGAGAGCCGAGGAGAAGCUACUGAUGAAAGUACAACUCAGUUAUGACAGAAGACUCCAGUACAUUGGAGCUGCCAGUACCAUGGGAUGACCACCAAGAACAGCAGCAGCAUGGAGUGAAGCCAGCUGGAGCCUAGAAAACAAGAUGUGUGUGCUCCAGAGGGCAGAGCCAGAGAAGUGACCCGAGCCCCUUGAAGGAGCACAGAUCAUGAAUCAUGACCCACUAGGUCUUCGGUUCUCUGAAUAUGCUGGGAACAUUUUCUCUAAGCAGGGAGCUGGACAAUCAUGGGGCCACUCAAGAAGGUCUCCUCUUUCAGGGACCAUAGUCUUCAGCUGCCUGUCUUCCACUAUCUAAGUCAUAUGUUGAUUUACAUAUUAUACUACCCUGGAUCAAAGCAGCAGAGUUCAGCACCUUCCUAUAAUACGUGGAAUUCAGAUAAAGUCAUUAGUAUAUCCUCAUAUGUAAUGAUUUUGUGGUUGCAUUUUAAAUAGUGCCAAAUAC